rnacentral:misc_RNA from 1 species
GAUGAAGAACGUAGCGAAAUGCGAUAAGUAAUGUGAAUUGCAGAAUUCAGUGAAUCAUCGAAUCUUUGAACGCACAUUGCGCCCGCUGGUAUUCCGGCGGGCAUGCCUGUUCGAGCGUCAUUUCAACCCUCAAGCUCUCCGGAGUUUGGUGUUGGGGCGCCUGGGGCUUUUCGACCUCAGGGCCCUCAAGUCCAUCGGCGGGACCGCCAGGACACUGAGCGCAGUAGUAUUAUUUCGCUCGGUAGGAUCUUACACGGCGGGUCGAUCUGGCCGCUAAACCCCCCAAUUCUCACCAAAGGUUGACCUCGGAUCAGGUAGGAAUACCCGCUGAACUUAAGCAUAUCAAUAAGCGGAGGA